rnacentral:tRNA from 1 species
GCCGCCGUAGCUCAGUUGGUAGAGCGCCACCUUGGUAAGGUGGAGGUCGCGAGUUCAAUCCUCGCUGGCGGCU